rnacentral:misc_RNA from 1 species
UCCGGUUUGUCACCGGCAGUCUCAUUAGAGUGCCCUUUCGUAGCAACUAAUGACAAGGGUUGCGCUCGUUGCGGGACUUAACCCAACAUCUCACGACACGAGCUGACGACGGCCAUGCAGCACCUGUGUUCCGGCUCCCUUUCGGGCACACCCAACUCUCAUCGGGCUUCCGGAUAUGUCAAGGGUAGGUAAGGUUUUUCGCGUUGCAUCGAAUUAAUCCACAUAAUCCACCGCUUGUGCGGGUCCCCGUCAAUUCCUUUGAGUUUUAAGCUUGCGCUCGUAGUUCCCAGGCGGGCCACUUCCCGCGUUAGCUAAGGCCCCCAGGAACGGAGAUUCCGCCCCCAAAGGCCGAGUGGCCAUCGUUUACGGCGUGGACUAC